UGGGGAAUAUUGGACAAUGGGGGCAACCCUGAUCCAGCAAUGCCGCGUGUGUGAAGAAGGCCUUCGGGUUGUAAAGCACUUUUAUCGGGAACGAAACAUUGUCGGCCAAUACCCGGCAAGACUGACGGUACCCGAGGAAUAAGCACCGGCUAACUCCGUGCCAGCAGCCGCGGUAAUACGGAGGGUGCAAGCGUUAAUCGGAAUUACUGGGCGUAAAGCGUGCGCAGGCGGUUUGUUAAGUCUGCUGUGAAAUCCCCGAGCUCAACUUGGGAAUUGCAGGGGAUACUGGCAAGCUGGAGUACGGUAGAGGACGGUGGAAUUCCCGGUGUAGCAGUGAAAUGCGUAGAGAUCGGGAGGAACACCAGUGGCGAAGGCGGCCUUCUGGACCAGUACUGACGCUCAUGCACGAAAGCGUGGGGAGCAAACA
rnacentral:rRNA from 1 species